GAGGGAGGCAGUGGACCGUGGCGUAUUCCAGAGACAGGGGGUAACGACGGCUCGGUGAAUGGGGGGAUUAUGUCUGCCAAUCAGAGGGCUGGGAUGGGAGGCCUGUGUGUCAGGGAAACAAUGUCUAAUCCUUCCUAAGCAGCCUCCUCGGCAGCAGAAGGGGAGCUGGGUGAAAUCAGGAUGAAGGCACGACCAGGAGAGGCAGACACAACAGGCAGAGACUUUCAUUCUCCACAAACUGAAGGAAAAACAAGGUCGGUGACUACAAAGCGCUAUCCAUGGUGCUGAAAUGACUUCUCAUUGCAGAAACAAGACCACACGCUGCUUCUGUGUUGCAACAGGAUCCUUACCAGGAUCAUGUGACCGGUGGAGAUGUCCAUGUUGGCCGGCACGGGCUCCUCGCACCAGGAGGAGGUGCUGCUGCGC